rnacentral:lncRNA from 1 species
UAGCCGGAUACUUUCUGAGUGAACCGAGUGUUGUAACUAUUGACCGGCCAAUUCGAUUGUUUCUAUAUUACAGAUACAUAGGUUAGCAAAAAAUCCAAUGCCCUGAAUACUAAACCCUAAACCCAAAAUACCAAACCCUAAACCCAAUAGGAAGCCCGAAACCAAACCAUAGUCACUAAACCCUAAACCCUAAACCCAAUAGUAAGCCCAGAACCUAAACCCUAGUCACUAAACCCCAAACCCUAAACCCAAAAUAUUAAACCAUAAAACCAAU